rnacentral:pre_miRNA from 1 species
ACGUACUUCUUUAUAUGCCCAUAUGGACAUGAGCAAGUGUGGAAUGUAAAGAAGUAUGUAG